rnacentral:rRNA from 1 species
GACGAACGCUGGCGGCGUGCUUACACAUGCAAGUCGAACGGAAAGGCCCCUUUGGGGGUACUCGAGUGGCGAACGGGUGAGUAACACGUGAGUAACCUGCCCUUGACUUCGGGAUAACUUCAGGAAACUGGGGCUAAUACCGGAUAGGAAUCCUUGCUGCAUGGUGGGGGUUGGAAAGCUUCGGCGGUUUUGGAUGGACUCGCGGCUUAUCAGCUUGUUGGUGGGGUAGUGGCUUACCAAGGCUUUGACGGGUAGCCGGCCUGAGAGGGCGACCGGCCACAUUGGGACUGAGAUACGGCCCAGACUCCUACGGGAGGCAGCAGUGGGGAAUAUUGCACAAUGGGCGGAAGCCUGAUGCAGCAACGCCGCGUGCGGGAUGACGGCCUUCGGGUUGUAAACCGCUUUCAGCAGGGGCGAAGCUUUUGUGACGGUACCUGCAGAAGAAGCACCGGCUAACUACGUG